ACUUAAAUUGAAGAGUUUGAUCAUGGCUCAGAUUGAACGCUGGCGGCAGGCCUAACACAUGCAAGUCGAGCGGUAGCACAGAGAGCUUGCUCUCGGGUGACGAGCGGCGGACGGGUGAGUAAUGUCUGGGAAACUGCCUGAUGGAGGGGGAUAACUACUGGAAACGGUAGCUAAUACCGCAUAACGUCGCAAGACCAAAGUGGGGGACCUUCGGGCCUCAUGCCAUCAGAUGUGCCCAGAUGGGAUUAGCUAGUAGGUGGGGUAACGGCUCACCUAGGCGACGAUCCCUAGCUGGUCUGAGAGGAUGACCAGCCACACUGGAACUGAGACACGGUCCAGACUCCUACGGGAGGCAGCAGUGGGGAAUAUUGCACAAUGGGCGCAAGCCUGAUGCAGCCAUGCCGCGUGUGUGAAGAAGGCCUUCGGGUUGUAAAGCACUUUCAGCGGGGAGGAAGGCGGUGAGGUUAAUAACCUCAUCGAUUGACGUUACCCGCAGAAGAAGCACCGGCUAACUCCGUGCCAGCAGCCGCGGUAAUACGGAGGGUGCAAGCGUUAAUCGGAAUUACUGGGCGUAAAGCGCACGCAGGCGGUCUGUCAAGUCGGAUGUGAAAUCCCCGGGCUCAACCUGGGAACUGCAUUCGAAACUGGCAGGCUAGAGUCUUGUAGAGGGGGGUAGAAUUCCAGGUGUAGCGGUGAAAUGCGUAGAGAUCUGGAGGAAUACCGGUGGCGAAGGCGGCCCCCUGGACAAAGACUGACGCUCAGGUGCGAAAGCGUGGGGAGCAAACAGGAUUAGAUACCCUGGUAGUCCACGCCGUAAACGAUGUCGAUUUGGAGGUUGUGCCCUUGAGGCGUGGCUUCCGGAGCUAACGCGUUAAAUCGACCGCCUGGGGAGUACGGCCGCAAGGUUAAAACUCAAAUGAAUUGACGGGGGCCCGCACAAGCGGUGGAGCAUGUGGUUUAAUUCGAUGCAACGCGAAGAACCUUACCUGGUCUUGACAUCCACAGAACUUUCCAGAGAUGGAUUGGUGCCUUCGGGAACUGUGAGACAGGUGCUGCAUGGCUGUCGUCAGCUCGUGUUGUGAAAUGUUGGGUUAAGUCCCGCAACGAGCGCAACCCUUAUCCUUUGUUGCCAGCGGUUAGGCCGGGAACUCAAAGGAGACUGCCAGUGAUAAACUGGAGGAAGGUGGGGAUGACGUCAAGUCAUCAUGGCCCUUACGACCAGGGCUACACACGUGCUACAAUGGCAUAUACAAAGAGAAGCGACCUCGCGAGAGCAAGCGGACCUCAUAAAGUAUGUCGUAGUCCGGAUUGGAGUCUGCAACUCGACUCCAUGAAGUCGGAAUCGCUAGUAAUCGUAGAUCAGAAUGCUACGGUGAAUACGUUCCCGGGCCUUGUACACACCGCCCGUCACACCAUGGGAGUGGGUUGCAAAAGAAGUAGGUAGCUUAACCUUCGGGAGGGCGCUUACCACUUUGUGAUUCAUGACUGGGGUGAAGUCGUAACAAGGUAACCGUAGGGGAACCUGCGGUUGGAUCACCUCCUUACCUUAAAGA
rnacentral:rRNA from 1 species